GCUGGGCAUGGUGGUGCGUACCUGUAGUCCCGGCUACUCGGGAGGCUGAGGUGGGAGGAUCGCUUGAGUCCAGGAGUUCUGGGCUGUAGUGCUUUAUGCUGAUCGGGGGUCUGCACUAAGUUCAGCAUCAAUAUGGUGACCUCCCGGGAGCAGAGGACCACCAGGUUGCCUAAGGAGGGGUGAACCAGCCCAGGUCGGAAAUGGAGCAGGUCAAAACUCCUGUGCUGAUCAGUAGUGGGAUCGCACCUGUGAAUAGCCACUGCACUCCAGCCUGGACAACAUAGCGAGACGCCGUCUCU
rnacentral:SRP_RNA from 1 species